rnacentral:rRNA from 1 species
AAUUGCAAGUCGAACGAAGGCCCUAUUUCGGUUGGGUCCUUAGUGGCGCACGGGUGCGUAACGCGCUGGGCAGUCUGCCCCUUGGUUCGGAAUAACAGUUAGAAAUGACUGCUAAUACCGGAUGAUGACGUAAGUCCAAAGAUUUAUCGCCGAGGGAUGAGCCCGCGUAGGAUUAGCUAGUUGGUGUGGUAAGAGCGCACCAAGGCGACGAUCCUUAGCUGGUCUGAGAGGAUGAUCAGCCACACUGGGACUGAGACACGGCCCAGACUCCUACGGGAGGCAGCAGUGGGGAAUAUUGGACAAUGGGCGAAAGCCUGAUCCAGCAAUGCCGCGUGAGUGAUGAAGGCCUUAGGGUUGUAAAGCUCUUUUACCCGGGAUGAUAAUGACAGUACCGGGAGAAUAAGCUCCGGCUAACUCCGUGCCAGCAGCCGCGGUAAUACGGAGGGAGCUAGCGUUAUUCGGAAUUACUGGGCGUAAAGCGCACGUAGGCGGCUUUGUAAGUAAGAGGUGAAAGCCCAGAGCUCAACUCUGGAAUUGCCUUUUAGACUGCAUCGCUUGAAUCAUGGAGAGGUCAGUGGAAUUCCGAGUGUAGAGGUGAAAUUCGUAGAUAUUCGGAAGAACACCAGUGGCGAAGGCGGCUGACUGGACAUGUAUUGACGCUGAGGUGCGAAAGCGUGGGGAGCAAACGGGAUUAGAUACCCUGGUAGUCCACNCCAUAAACAAUGAUAACUAGCUGUCCGGGCACUUGGUCCUU